UUGAACGCUGGCGGCAGGCCUAACACAUGCAAGUCGAGCGGAUGAAGGGAGCUUGCUCCUGGCUUCAGCGGCGGACGGGUGAGUAAUGCCUAGGAAUCUGCCUGGUAGUGGGGGAUAACGUCCGGAAACGGGCGCUAAUACCGCAUACGUCCUGAGGGAGAAAGUGGGGGAUCUUCGGACCUCACGCUAUCAGAUGAGCCUAGGUCGGAUUAGCUAGUUGGUGGGGUAAAGGCCUACCAAGGCGACGAUCCGUAACUGGUCUGAGAGGAUGAUCAGUCACACUGGAACUGAGACACGGUCCAGACUCCUACGGGAGGCAGCAGUGGGGAAUAUUGGACAAUGGGCGAAAGCCUGAUCCAGCCAUGCCGCGUGUGUGGAGAAGGUCUUCGGAUUGUAAAGCACUUUAAGUUGGGAGGAAGGGCAGUAAGUUAAUACCUUGCUGUUUUGACGUUACCAACAGAAUAAGCACCGGCUAACUUCGUG
rnacentral:rRNA from 1 species